GCGCGAGUGGCGGAAUUGGUAGACGCGCUAGUCUUAGGAACUAGUAUCGUAAGAUGUGGAGGUUCGAGUCCUCUCUCGCGCACCA
rnacentral:tRNA from 1 species